rnacentral:rRNA from 1 species
CCGUCUUUAGUGGAAAUAUAUAUGAAUAGGCCACCUGAAAGAAAGCCGAGCAUGACCAGCCCUCUGUAGGUGAACCUGCAGGA